rnacentral:misc_RNA from 1 species
AUAGAAAGAGAUGCAUGAUUCCUAUUGAAGACAUCAUGACUAUCAAACUCCAUGGUACAAGAUUGAUAACUCCAACUGGACAUCAGGGAGAAUGGGGGUAUUAAUUUUUAGUUUGAAACCAGAUUAUUUACGCAUGUUGGCAUGAUAUAUCCUAUGUUAAUUAGCACAUAACCUGAUGUAGGGUAGGUUAGAAACAUCCUACACCAGGCCCAAGAAUGCCAAGAGACUCAAAAAUGGUACACGUCAUCUGAGGAAAAACUAACAAUAUAAACAGCACAAAGUGAAAUAGAGUACAUAGUUCCUCAUUGCAGGAUAAUGCACAUGCAUGGUGGAAUAAACCUGUGCUUCGUACCUUCAAAUCAAU